GGAAGGGCAACUUGAGUCAGGAAAGGCAAACGGGCAGUUGCCCGGGCAACCAGAGCAACCCCCCUGUGCACGUCCCUGCUUGUUCUUGUCACUGACAGGCUCAGAUAACUGUGUGACAACAUUGCGGAAAGAAUCCGUACCGAAGAAGAGUAAGAUCAUUUUUGUUGACGUUACUACACAAACUGCGUGAGACCUUUGACCUGCCGUCCUGCAGACAUCAGAUCAUGCAGAUGAAGGAGAAGAGGGUUUGGACUGAAUGGCAGUUUGGGUCGUCCUGUAACAAUAAACCUGAUGAAAUUAAAAUCUGAUCACUGCCUGGCUGUUUUUGUAGUGGCAAAGGACACCGAACCUCUGCAGAUUUUGGAGAAGAUAAUGAGACAUAUGAUUUCAAAUACCAUCAGAUUUUAUUUUCAUAUCACAAAUAAAAAUCAACCAUACAUGUAAUCAGUUUGAUGGCUUGAGGUCCCUUGCAUCAGAAUAUAAUGUAAAUAAAAGAUUUCUCCAACACCA